rnacentral:snRNA from 1 species
GUACUUGUCCAGCAGCACAUAUACUAAAAUUGGAACUAUACAGAGAAGAUCAGCAUGGCCUCUGCAUAAGGGUGACAUGAAGCCUUCCAUAUUAAA